UACGGGGGGGAGCAAGCGUUGUUCGGAUUUACUGGGCGUAAAGGGCGCGUAGGCGGUGUGACAAGUCACUUGUGAAAUCUCCGGGCUUAACUCGGAACGGUCAAGUGAUACUGUCGGACUAGAGUACAGAAGGGGCAACUGGAAUUCUCGGUGUAGCGGUGUAAUGCGUAGAUAUCGAGAGGAACACCUGCGGCGAAGGCGGGUUGCUGGGCUGAUACUGACGCUGAGGCGCGAAAGCCAGGGGAGCGAACGGG
rnacentral:rRNA from 1 species